CCUUACUGCUCAGUAACACGUGGAUAACCUGCCCUUGGGUCCGGCAUAACCCCGGGAAACUGGGGAUAAUUCCGGAUAACGCAUAUAUGCUGGAAUGCUUUAUGCGUCAAAUGGAUUCGUCUGCCCAAGGAUGGAUCUGCGGCCUAUCAGGUAGUAGUGGGUGUAAUGUACCUACUAGCCAACAACGGGUACGGGUUGUGAGAGCAAGAGCCCGGAGAUGGAUUCUGAGACAUGAAUCCAGGCCCUACGGGGCGCAGCAGGCGCGAAAACUUUACAAUGCGGGAAACCGUGAUAAGGGGACACCGAGUGCUAGCAUCAUAUGCUGGCUGUCCAGGUGUGUAAACUACACCUGUUAGCAAGGGCCGGGCAAGACCGGUGCCAGCCGCCGCGGUAACACCGGCGGCCCGAGUGGUGAUCGUGAUUAUUGGGUCUAAAGGGUCCGUAGCCGGUUUGGUCAGUCUUCCGGGAAAUCUGAUAGCUUAACUAUUAGGCUUUCGGGGGAUACUGCCAGGCUUGGAACCGGGAGAGGUAAGAGGUACUACAGGGGUAGGAGUGAAAUCUUGUAAUCCCUGUGGGACCACCUGUGGCGAAGGCGUCUUACCAGAACGGGUUCGACGGUGAGGGACGAAAGCUGGGGGCACGAACCGGAUUAGAUACCCGGGUAGUCCCAGCCGUAAACGAUGCUCGCUAGGUGUCAGGCAUGGCGCGACCGUGUCUGGUGCCGCAGGGAAGCCGUGAAGCGAGCCACCUGGGAAGUACAGCCGCAAGGCUGAAACUUAAAGGAAUUGGCGGGGGAGCAC
rnacentral:rRNA from 1 species